GACGAACGCUGGCGGCGUGCUUAACACAUGCAAGUCGAACGCUGAAGCUCAGCUUUUGUUGGGUGGAUGAGUGGCGAACGGGUGGGUAACACGUGAGUAACCUGCCCCCUUCUUUGGGAUAACGCCCGGAAACGGGUGCUAAUACUGGAUAUUCACUGGUCUUCGCAUGGGGGUUGGUGGAAAGGGUUUUUCUGGUGGGGGAUGGGCUCGCGGCCUAUCAGCUUGUUGGUGGGGUGAUGGCCUACCAAGGCUUUGACGGGUAGCCGGCCUGAGAGGGUGACCGGUCACAUUGGGACUGAGAUACGGCCCAGACUCCUACGGGAGGCAGCAGUGGGGAAUAUUGCACAAUGGGCGCAAGCCUGAUGCAGCGACGCCGCGUGAGGGAUGGAGGCCUUCGGGUUGUGAACCUCUUUCGCUCAUGGUCAAGCCGCAACAAUGGUUGUGGUGAGGGUAGUGGGUAAAGAAGCGCCGGCUAACUACGUG
rnacentral:rRNA from 1 species